rnacentral:rRNA from 1 species
CAGCAGCCACGGGAACACGUAGGGUGCGAGCGUUGUCCGGAAUUAUUGGGCGUAAAGAGCUUGUAGGCGGUCUGUCGCGUCUGCUGUGAAAACCCGAGGCUCAACCUCGGGCCUGCAGUGGGUACGGGCAGACUAGAGUGCGGUAGGGGAGAACGGAACUCCUGGUGUAGCGGUGGAAUGCGCAGAUAUCAGGAAGAACACCGAUGGCGAAGGCAGUUCUCUGGGCCGUAACUGACGCUGAGAAGCGAAAGCGUGGGGAGCGAACAGGAUUAGAUACCCGGGUAGUCCCUGUCUCUUAUAC